rnacentral:rRNA from 1 species
AUUGAACGCUGGCGGCAGGCCUAACACAUGCAAGUCGAGCGCGUGGGGGGCGGGUGUAUAAUGUGUGGGUCUGCCCGAUAGAGGGGGAGAACAACUGGAAACAGUGGCGAAUAUCGCGCACUCUCUGAUGAAUCCAUAUGGGAUUAGCUAGUGGGUGGGGUAAUGCCUCACCAAGGCGACGAUCCCUAGCUGGUGUGAGAGGAGGACCAGCCACACUGGGACUGAGACACGGCCCAAACUCCUACGGGAGGCAGCAGUGGGGAAUAUUGCACAAUGGGCGCAAGCCUGAUGCAGCCAUGCCGCGUGUAUGAAGAAGGCCUUAGGGUUGUAAAGUACUUUCAGUGGGGAGGCGUUACCCGCAGAAGAAGCACCGGCUAACUCCGUGCCAGCAGCCGCGGUAAUAC